GAUGAACGCUGACAGAAUGCUUAACACAUGCAAGUCGAUGGGGAAGUGGUGCUUGCACCAUGGUAACCAUGGCGGACGGGUGAGUAACGCGUAAGGAACUUACCUGCGGGACCGGGAUAACAGCAGGAAACUGCUGACAAGACCGGAUAAGGUCAUUAAGCUGCAUAGCUUAGUGAUGAAAGGAGACGCCUGCGGAGAGCCUUGCGUCCUAUUAGCUAGUUGGAGGGGUAACGGCCCACCAAGGCGAAGAUAGGUAGCCGGCCUGAGAGGGUGGACGGCCACAAGGGGACUGAGAUACGGCCGUUACUCCUACGGGAGGCAGCAGUGGGGAAUAUUGGACAAUGGGGGCAACCCUGAUCCAGCAAUUCUGUGUGCACGAAGACGGUUUUCGGAUUGUAAAGUGCUUUCAGCAGGGAAGAAGGAAGUGACGGUACCUGCAGAAGAAGCGACGGCUAAAUACGUG
rnacentral:rRNA from 1 species